UCAGACUGGGCAUUUGUUAAAAAAAUUUCGCAUGGUGAAUCCCCCUGAGCGGAGGGGCGACUGGUGACGGUAUAAUCUCUGAUUAUCAAAACGAGAAUGACGCGGGUUUAGUGGCACCGGGCUGAACUCACCGGGAGGCACCCGGCACCAUGUGCAUGAUGAUACAGAUACGCGGCUUUAGCCCCUCUCCGGAGGGGCUUUCUUGUGGGC
rfam:Escherichia coli 83972 contig00159, whole genome shotgun sequence.